rnacentral:rRNA from 1 species
UAACACGUGGAUAACCUACCCUUAGGACCGGAAUAACCCCGGGAAACUGGGGAUAAUACCGGAUAAGCCAUAGACGCUGGAAUGCCCUAUGGUUCAAAGCUCCGGCGCCUAAGGAUGGAUCUGCGGUCUAUCAGGUUGUAGUGGGUGUAACGUACCUACUAGCCGACGACGGAUACGGGUUGUGAGAGCAAGAGCCCGGAGAUGGAUUCUGAGACACGAAUCCAGGCCCUACGGGGUGCAGCAGGCGCGAACACUUUACAAUGCGGGAAACCGCGAUAAGGGAACCCCGAGUGCCAGCAUCAAAUGUUGGCUGUCCGGAUGAUUAAAAAUCAUUUGUUAGCAAGGGCCGGGCAAGACCGGUGCCAGCCGCCGCGGUAACACCGGCGGCCCGAGUGGUAGCCGUUUUUAUUGGGUCUAAAGGGUCCGUAGCCGGUUCGAUAAGUCCUCUGGGAAAUCUGGUUGCUUAACAAUCAGACUGCCAAGGGAUACUGUCGAACUUGAGACCGGGAGAGGUAAGAGGUACUUCAGGGGUAGGAGUGAAAUCUUGUAAUCCCUGGGGGACCAUCUGUGGCGAAGGCGUCUUACCAAAACGGGUCUGACGGUGAGGGACGAAAGCUGGGGGCGCAAACCGGAUUAGAUACCCGGGUAGUCCCAGCCGUAAACGAUGCUCGCUAUGUGUCAGGUACGGUGUGACCGUAUCUGGUGCCGUAGGGAAGCCGUGAAGCGAGCCACCUGGGAAGUACGGCCGCAAGGCUGAAACUUAAAGGAAUUGGCGGGGGAGCACUACAACGGGUGGAGCCUGCGGUUUAAUUGGACUCAACGCCGGAAAUCUUACCGGGGGAGACAGCAGCAUGAAGGUCAGGCUGAAGACCUUACCAGAUCCGCUGAGAGGAAGUGCAUGGCCGUCGUCAGUUCGUACUGUGAAGCAUCCUGUUAAGUCAGGCAACGAGCGAGACCCGUGCCCACAGUUGCCAGCAUACCCUUCGGGGUGAUGGGUACUUUGUGGGGACCGCCGCUGCUAAAGCGGAGGAAGGAGCGGGUUACGGUAGGUCAGUAUGCUCCGAAACUCCCGGGCUACACGCGGGCUACAAUGGUUGGGACAAUGGGA